AAAAAUGGUUACCUCUGGAUAGAGGAUAAAAACGCAACGGAUGGAGCUGAAGGGCUUUGGAGGAUCCUUGAUAAUUUGUAUGAUUUCCAGGAUUUUGUUAAGACACAUCCAGGAGGAUCAAUGUGGUUGGAAAUAACUAAGGGUACAGACAUUACUGAAGCUUUUUAUGCUCACCAUAUUUCAACAUUUCCUCAAGAAUUCAUAAAAAAAAUACAUGGUGAGGAAAGCAAGAUUUGCAAGAAGUUAUCCAUUUACAUUUCACGAAGAUGGCUUUUAUGAAACACUCAAACCACGAUUUAGAAACGAACUACCA